AAAGCGUGGGGAGCGAACAGGAUUAGAUACCCUGGUAGUCCACGCCGUAAACGAUGGGUACUAGGUGUAGGAGGUAUCGACCCCUUCUGUGCCGGAGUUAACGCAAUAAGUACCCCGCCUGGGGAGUACGACCGCAAGGUUGAAACUCAAAGGAAUUGACGGGGGCCCGCACAAGCGGUGGAGUAUGUGGUUUAAUUCGACGCAACGCGAAGAACCUUACCAGGUCUUGACAUUGAUGGACAGAACUAGAGAUAGUUCCUCUUCUUCGGAAGCCAGAAAACAGGUGGUGCACGGUUGUCGUCAGCUCGUGUCGUGAGAUGUUGGGUUAAGUCCCGCAACGAGCGCAACCCCUAUCUUAUGUUGCCAGCACUUCGGGUGGGAACUCAUGAGAGACUGCCGCAGACAAUGCGGAGGAAGGCGGGGAUGACGUCAAAUCAUCAUGCCCCUUAUGACCUGGGCUACACACGUACUACAAUGGGAGUUAAUAGACGGAAGCAAUACCGCGAGGUGGAGCAAACCCGAGAAACACUCUCUCAGUUCGGAUCGUAGGCUGCAACUCGCCUACGUGAAGUCGGAAUCGCUAGUAAUCGCAGGUCAGCAUACUGCGGUGAAUACGUUCCCGGGCCUUGUACACACCGCCCGUCACACCACGAAAGUCGGAAGUGCCCAAAGCCGGUGGGGUAACCUUCGGGAGCCAGCCGUCUAAGGUAAAGUCGAUGAUUGGGGUGAAGUCGUAACAAGGUAGCCGUAUCGGAAGGUGCGGCUG
rnacentral:rRNA from 1 species